UGGGGAAUAUUGCACAAUGGGCGCAAGCCUGAUGCAGCAACGCCGCGUGAACGAUGAAGGUCUUCGGAUCGUAAAGUUCUGUUGCAGGGGAAGAUAAUGACGGUACCCUGUGAGGAAGCCCCGGCUAACUACGUGCCAGCAGCCGCGGUAAUACGUAGGGGGCUAGCGUUAUCCGGAUUUACUGGGCGUAAAGGGUGCGUAGGUGGUCUUUCAAGUCGGUGGUUAAAGGCUACGGCUCAACCGUAGUUAGCCUCCGAAACUGGAAGACUUGAGUGCAGGAGAGGAAAGUGGAAUUCCCAGUGUAGCGGUGAAAUGCGUAGAUAUUGGGAGGGACACCAGUAGCGAAGGCGGCUUUCUGGACUGCAACUGACACUGAGGCACGAAAGCGUGGGUAGCAAACAGG
rnacentral:rRNA from 1 species